rnacentral:rRNA from 1 species
AACGAACGCUGGCGGCAGGCUUAACACAUGCAAGUCGAACGGUGUAGCAAUACACAGUGGCGCACGGGUGAGUAACGCGUGGGAACGUGCCCUUCAGUACGGAAUAACGUCGGGAAACUGACGCUAAUACCGUAUAUUCCCUCCGGGGGAAAGAUUUAUCGCUGAAGGAUCGGCCCGCGUUAGAUUAGGUAGUUGGUGGGGUAAUGGCCUACCAAGCCUACGAUCUAUAGCUGGUCUGAGAGGAUGAUCAGCCACACUGGAACUGAGACACGGUCCAUACUCCUACGGGAGGCAGCGGUGGGGAAGAUUGGACAAUGGGGGAAACCCUGAUCCAUCCAUGCCGCGUGAGUGAUGAAGGCCUUAGGGUUGUAAAGCUCUUUUGUCAGGGAAGAUGAUGACGGUACCUGAAGAAUAAGCACCGGCUAACUUCGUGCCAGCAGCCGCCGUAA